GGGGCAGUAGUGUAAUGGUUAUCAUUGAAGGCUUGCAUAGUUCUUUCCUUCACAGCGAAGUAACUUGUUGUUUCUUUCCGAUCCCGGUUCAAUUCCGGGCUGCUCCA
rnacentral:tRNA from 1 species